rnacentral:rRNA from 1 species
GGGAGGCUGCAGUGAGGAAUAUUGCGCAAUGGGGGAAACCCUGACGCAGCGACGCCGCGUGAGUGAGGAAGGCCUUCGGGUCGUAAAGCUCUGUCAAGAGGAAAGAAGUGUACAAUGGCUAAUACCUGUUGUAUUUGACGGUACCUCUAAAGGAAGCACCGGCUAACUCCGUGCCAGCAGCCGCGGUAAUACGGAGGGUGCAAGCGUUGUCCGGAAUUACUGGGCGUAAAGGGCGUGUAGGCGGCCUAAUAAGUCAGGUGUGAAAUUCCAAGGCUUAACCUUGGCGCUGCACUUGAAACUGUUGGGCUUGAGGUCAGGAGAGGGAAGCGGAAUUCCCAGUGUAGCGGUGAAAUGCGUAGAUAUUGGGAGGAACACCAGUGGCGAAGGCGGCUUCCUGGACUGCACCUGACGCUGAGGCGCGAAAGCUAGGGUAGCGAACGGGAUUAGAUACCCUUG